UGGCUCUCGCAUCGAUGAAGAACGCAGCGAAUUGCGAUAUGUUAAUGUGAAACGCAGAACAGUGAAUCAUCGAGAUUUUGAACGCACCUUGCGCCCUCUGGUCUUCCAGAGAGCAUGCCUGUCUGAGUGUCGCUAAAACCCCAUAGGCCGAAAGGUCUGAUUCGGAUGUGUGCCGUGGUUGGCUCCAUCUAAGAUGAAAUUGGAACGCGGCCAAGAGCGCGUCUUCCGAGACAUUUGAUCGUAAUUACCUUCAUGCGUCUCAAAGGAAGAGGUGUCCUCUUGUGCUCCGCAUCGCGAAUUGCCCUUGUGGUGUUGCGGUGUCGCCCUUUUUGUGACGUGGCCUCAGAUCAGGUAGGACUACCCGCUGA
rnacentral:misc_RNA from 1 species